rnacentral:rRNA from 1 species
AAUUCGCCCUUACUCCUACGGGAGGCAGCAGUGGGGAAUAUUGCACAAUGGGCGAAAGCCUGAUGCAGCAACGCCGCGUGAGUGAUGAAGGCCUUCGGGUCGUAAAACUCUGUCCUCAAGGAAGAUAAUGACGGUACUUGAGGAGGAAGCCCCGGCUAACUACGUGCCAGCAGCCGCGGUAAUACGUAGGGGGCUAGCGUUAUCCGGAUUUACUGGGCGUAAAGGGUGCGUAGGUGGUUUCUUAAGUCAGGAGUGAAAGGCUACGGCUCAACCGUAGUAAGCUCUUGAAACUGGGAAACUUGAGUGCAGGAGAGGAAAGUGGAAUUCCUAGUGUAGCGGUGAAAUGCGUAGAUAUUAGGAGGAACACCAGUAGCGAAGGCGGCUUUCUGGACUGUAACUGACACUGAGGCACGGAAGCGUGGGGAGCAAACAGGAUUAGAUACCCUGGUAGUCCACGCCGUAAACGAUGAGUACUAGGUGUCGGGGGUUACCCCCCUCGGUGCCGCAGCUAACGCAUUAAGUACUCCGCCUGGGGAGUACGCUCGCAAGAGUGAAACUCAAAGGAAUUGACG